AUUUAUGCCCAUCGCCGCCUUGUGUGUCUCCAGCUCUCGCCCCGUGUGCCUCCUGAGAUUCCAGCUCCUGCCGAGAGCGCGCGGCGGCGGAGGGAAGCCGCGAGGCCAGACUGUGUUACUACGUCUUCCUUCAUCCUUCCAGGCUGACGCGGGUUUUAGGGUAUUGUCAUCCAAGGCCGGAGGAAGCGCUCAGAUUCUGCUCCCGGACCAUCUUCCCCUUCUCCCGAGGUAUUUAGUAUGCCUGGGAGAUCUGCCAGGAGAGUCGCUGAAAUCAAAGCAAACAACCAUCACAAAGGAGCAGAGAGGAAUCGAUGGGCUAAGAAAAAGAUGAGGGCUGCUUGUUCCUCAUGGACAAGCCUAAUGAGGUGCUGGAGGAGUUGUGGAGUUCUGUGCUCCAGGCCACAUCAGCUAUGCUGCGCGGAGAUGGCGCGGGGAGAAGAAAGGGAUGCAGCUCCCGGGCGCCCUGCCACGGACUCCCCCGUGAACCUGAGCUCCUUCCACAAACUGGGAGCAUGCUUCCUUUUGCUCAGAAGCCUGAAGCAAAGGAUCUUGGGUGCUUGGGGUCUUCAGAUGACUGCCUCCCCAGAAACCUUUCGGGGGAACAAGAAGAGGCAGCUUCCGGCAGGAACCAGCCAUGAUCCCAGCUGGUUCCUCGCUCCAGGGACUUCAAAGCUGAGACUCAGGGCAGAGCUGGGAUUCCAGAGAUGGCCCUCCUGGAGACUCACACCUGGAGCAGUGACCAUGCCUCUCCCCCUGCAGGGAACUGGAGGACCCAUGGGGCUCCUGUCCCUCCAAUUUUCAUCCUCCUCUGCAAUCAAGUCAGGCUGGGUCCUCCCUGAGUGUCAGGAUCACCAUCUGCUUUCCUGGGCAGCUUUAAAAUACUCAAAGUUA